rnacentral:rRNA from 1 species
UCGUACGCUUCUUUUUCACCGGAGCUUGCUCCACCGGAAAAAGAAGAGUGGCGAACGGGUGAGUAACACGUGGGUAACCUGCCCAUCAGAAGGGGAUAACACUUGGAAACAGGUGCUAAUACCGUAUAACAAUCGAAACCGCAUGGUUUUGAUUUGAAAGGCGCUUUCGGGUGUCGCUGAUGGAUGGACCCGCGGUGCAUUAGCUAGUUGGUGAGGUAACGGCUCACCAAGGCCACGAUGCAUAGCCGACCUGAGAGGGUGAUCGGCCACAUUGGGACUGAGACACGGCCCAAACUCCUACGGGAGGCAGCAGUAGGGAAUCUUCGGCAAUGGACGAAAGUCUGACCGAGCAACGCCGCGUGAGUGAAGAAGGUUUUCGGAUCGUAAAACUCUGUUGUUAGAGAAGAACAAGGAUGAGAGUAACUGUUCAUCCCUUGACGGUAUCUAACCAGAAAGCCACGGCUAACUACGUGCCAGCAGCCGCGGUAAUACGUAGGUGGCAAGCGUUGUCCGGAUUUAUUGGGCGUAAAGCGAGCGCAGGCGGUUUCUUAAGUCUGAUGUGAAAGCCCCCGGCUCAACCGGGGAGGGUCAUUGGAAACUGGGAGACUUGAGUGCAGAAGAGGAGAGUGGAAUUCCAUGUGUAGCGGUGAAAUGCGUAGAUAUAUGGAGGAACACCAGUGGCGAAGGCGGCUCUCUGGUCUGUAACUGACGCUGAGGCUCGAAAGCGUGGGGAGCAAACAGGAUUAGAUACCCUGGUAGUCCACGCCGUAAACGAUGAGUGCUAAGUGUUGGAGGGUUUCCGCCCUUCAGUGCUGCAGCUAACGCAUUAAGCACUCCGCCUGGGGAGUACGACCGCAAGGUUGAAACUCAAAGGAAUUGACGGGGGCCCGCACAAGCGGUGGAGCAUGUGGUUUAAUUCGAAGCAACGCGAAGAACCUUACCAGGUCUUGACAUCCUUUGACCACUCUAGAGAUAGAGCUUCCCCUUCGGGGGCAAAGUGACAGGUGGUGCAUGGUUGUCGUCAGCUCGUGUCGUGAGAUGUUGGGUUAAGUCCCGCAACGAGCGCAACCCUUAUUGUUAGUUGCCAUCAUUUAGUUGGGCACUCUAGCAAGACUGCCGGUGACAAACCGGAGGAAGGUGGGGAUGACGUCAAAUCAUCAUGCCCCUUAUGACCUGGGCUACACACGUGCUACAAUGGGAAGUACAACGAGUCGCGAAGUCGCGAGGCUAAGCUAAUCUCUUAAAGCUUCUCUCAGUUCGGAUUGUAGGCUGCAACUCGCCUACAUGAAGCCGGAAUCGCUAGUAAUCGCGGAUCAGCACGCCGCGGUGAAUACGUUCCCGGGCCUUGUACACACCGCCCGUCACACCACGAGAGUUUUAACACCCGAAGUCGGUGAGGUAACCU